rnacentral:rRNA from 1 species
GACGAACGCUGGCGGCGUGCUUAACACAUGCAAGUCGAACGGUGAAGGGACCAGCUUGCUGGGUCUGGGUGAGGGGCGAACGGGUGUGUAACACGUGUGUAAUCUGCCCCCUUCUUCUGGAUAACCGCAUGAAAGGGGGUCUAAUACGGGAUAUUCUGGUUCUGUCGCAUGGGGGGCCGGGGAAAUAGAUUGCUUCGGUGGGGGAUGGGCUCGCGGCCUAUCAGCUUGUUGGUGGGGCGCUGGCCUACCAUGGCGGGGACGAGUAGGCGGGCUGAGAGGGGGGGCGCUCACACGGGGACUGGGCACAGGCCGAGACUGCUACGGGAGGCAGCAGUGGGGGAUACAGCAGUAGGGGAGAUAGCAUGAUGGAGCGACGCCGCAUGAAGGAUCGAGGCGUUCGGGAUGUAAGCCUCUUUCGUGAGUGAAGCAGGCCUGUUUCAUGUGGCUGGGUUGACGGUAGCUGGAUAAGAAGCGCCGGCUAACUACGUG